rnacentral:lncRNA from 1 species
CCAGGCCUAUCUGCCCGACGUCCUGUCCUCAGGGGAAUCAUGAGGACAAUCAGACAGAUGGGAGCGCUGCCCCUGGGAGGUUAAAAUCCUAUUGAGGCUGAAGUCAAAUUUUGCAGGUUAACCAAAUCCUAUGUAAAUAUUUGUAAGCAUCACAAAUGUCAUGAGCAGCCAUUUGUUGGCUGGGGAGUCAGCCCUGGGGACAAAGAAACAGCCGGGGAACGGCAUGCACUGCCUGUGAGCUGGGUUCUUUGUACUAGCUGUCUUUGGGGCUCUGGGACAUAGAUGGCCUCAUCUUCACUUCAUUGGAGGGGAAACUGAGGCCCAGGAAGCUUGAGUAAACUCGCAAGUGUCCACUCUAAGAAGAGGAGGAGCCACGAUUCGACUCCAUGUCUGCCUCAAGGCACCGCCCAUGAGACAGGAGCCUGGGUGGGAAGGACAAAAGGGACCCUGUUGAGCAGAUUCUGACUCAUGCGUUGGCUGUGAGCUUGAGGAAGUCAUGACAUUCUCUAUAGAAGGGAACUGGAGCGCUCCCUCAACUCAGCGCAGAUAACAUUCUGAUAACAGGAGCUUCAAGAUCACUGGAAACAAAGCACUGCUGUUCACUUGUGCGGUCUGGCCCUUGCAGGCCGUCCUGUUCCGCUUUCAGACAGAUGAGGUUCCCUGCAGCCGAGCCCUGCCUGACUCCUAAGAGAACCCUGGUCCGAAGACAGCUGUGAGGAGCCUGGCCCGCAUUCAGGGGCGAAUUCGUGUUGCGAUCCCGGCCACCACGUCACAGGGACUGAUGUGGCUGGCUGGGUCCUUGACCUUCUGCUGUAUGCCUCACUUCUCUUCCCCUCUGGAACCCGGUUGCUCACGUCCAACCCGGAAGGGGCAGUGGCUGAGAUGGAAGGGGAGGAAAACCUGAGAGGGGACCCUGUACCUCUGGGCUCUGCAUGGUCUUCAACUCAACUUACCCCCAACAUGAAGUUCGUGCGGAAUGGAAGGUUCAAGAAGUCUCUUUUCCAGGAGACUGCAGUCUUUCUUAAUCACCAAAAGUUUGCCUUAGGGUUCAUCGAGAA